GGAAUAUUGGACAAUGGACCAAAAGUCUGAUCCAGCAAUUCUGUGUGCACGAUGAAGUUUUUCGGAAUGUAAAGUGCUUUCAGUUGGGAAGAAGUCAGUGACGGUACCAACAGAAGAAGCGACGGCUAAAUACGUGCCAGCAGCCGCGGUAAUACGUAUGUCGCAAGCGUUAUCCGGAUUUAUUGGGCGUAAAGCGCGUCUAGGCGGCUUAGUAAGUCUGAUGUGAAAAUGCGGGGCUCAACCCCGUAUUGCGUUGGAAACUGUUAAACUAGAGUACUGGAGAGGUAGGCGGAACUACAAGUGUAGAGGUGAAAUUCGUAGAUAUCUGUAGGAAUGCCGAUGGGGAAGCCAGCCUACUGGACAGAUACUGACGCUAAAGCGCGAAAGCGUGGGUAGCAAA
rnacentral:rRNA from 1 species